UCCGACUCGAUAUUUUGGACUUGAACUUUACAGAUAUGAUCUAGGCCCAAUAUAUACAGCUAUACAAGGUAAGUCUGAAUUGUCUCUGUUCUUUUCUUUUUAAUUUUUUUUUUGUUUGUUAAUCUUCUUUAAAUUCAUCUAAGAUAUGUUAGAUAUUUCUAUUAUAAAUACAAAUUAAUUUAAAUGCCAAAGUAAAUAACCUAAUAGGCUCUUAGUAAAUAACUAGGGAUCAAACAAAUCUAUGCUAGCUUAAGUCUAACUAUACUUGUAAACCUAACAUAUGGCAACGCGAACACUCCUUUGCCCAUUCUGUAUAUAGUUUUUUCAGUCAUACGAACAUGUGGGAGCUAGGUCCUCCAAAUGACUAUCGGAGCUCAAGUCAUAAAAGACCAAUGCGACUGGUCGAUGAGUUAAGGUUUACAAUAGGAAAUGUUAUGGUUUUGUACUUCAAAUAAGAAAACUAACCACCUCCACGGCUCCACCGAUGAGACUUUUGUAUGAAUUCGGGCGAGAAAUAAUGUUUAGAGCUGCCAUAAACAUAAACUUGGCCCGCUCAUAGUCAACUCAAGAAGACUCUCCAUGCAAUGAUUAGAUGUCCAUCUCAUCUUUGGUUGGAAGCAACAAGUAAAAUUAUUUAUAGGAAAAGAAAAAACUGACAUAAGCCUGGAGACCGAUCGUGUGUUUCCAUAUUGGGUCGGGGCUGCUUAGUCGUAGGCCCUUGGAAACCAUCUAUGCCCUUAAAUUUUGCUUAUAAUCUUUUUUUUGGUAAAACGCUUAUAACGUUUAAUUUUAAAAAAUCAAUUAUGAGUGUGUGUGUGUUUGUGGCCCAAAUAUUGUUUCUGCUUUGAGCCUUCGGAUUCUUACGGUCACAUCAUUGCGGGUAUAAGAUAAG
rnacentral:lncRNA from 1 species